rnacentral:miRNA from 13 species
UUUUAGAGACGGGGUCUUGCUCUGUUGCC